rnacentral:lncRNA from 1 species
CUCUCUGGCUUCCCGUGGCCCCUGAACUCCCCCUCGGGCUCCCUCUGCUCGCCGGACCUCUCUGGGAUGUGACCACCCUGGCUGCGAUGUGGUAACUAAAGACAGCAAAUACUGAAGCAGGAAAGAGAAGGUCCUUCUAACAGGAGAGACAUAAUGGCUGACUGGACCGGGGGAGGGAUAGUAAGAGUGACAGUAACAAGCCGUUAAGAGUCUGGAUAUAGUUUGAAGAAAGAGCCCACAGGAUCUGUGCUAACAGAAAUGAAGGACAAUGACAAGAUUUUUGUCUAAGCAACUGAAAAAUGGAGGUACUGGUUUGCUAACAUGAGUAAAAACAACGUAUGAGGAAGAAAUAUCAGGGGCCCAGUUCUGGGUAGGUUAACUUUGUUAUUAGACAUCUGAGUGGAGAUAUUGAGUUAAGGAACCUGGAAUUCAGACGAGAGGUCAGGGCUGAAGAUAUAAAUUCAGGAGUCAUCAUAAAUUCAGGAGUCAUCAUCAGAUAUAGAUAAUUCUUAAAGGAAUGAAAAAGAAUGAGACUACCCAGGGACUAAGUGAAGCUAGAGAAGCAGGGAGCCCAAGGACUGAAUCUGGGAUACUUCCAACACGAGGAGAAAGAGAACUGGCAAGGGUGACUGGAAAGAGGCCAGGGAAGAA